GCGGUCUGCGACUGGAGCUGGCGGGCGGAGGGGGCGUGGGCCCCCGCCCGGCGCCCGCGGGGCCGGAGCUGCCCGUGAUCCGCACCUAGCACCCGGCGCAAGGGCGUCCCCGCGAGGACGGCCGCUUCCCGCACCGCGGCGCCCGGGCGCGAAUCUCGGGAGCCAGCCUUGCAGUGGGGGCUUCUCGGCCCCCAGACUCCACGCUGCGCACGUUCCUCCCGCACGGGCCGUCCUCGCUGCACCCCACGGCCACGCCCUUCCUGCCGCCGGGCCGGCCCCGCGCUCCCGGCCCCGCGCUCCCGACCACACUGCAGCUUUGUCCGCAGUCCCGCGGCCGCACGCAGGGAACAGCCGUCCCGGAGCCCUGGGGACGUGCGCGCCUGCGAGUGGACCGUGAAUUCAGUUACCUUGUUCCCUGUUGCUAGUUUCUACGCUAAAUAAGAAGAAGAAGAAGAAAAAGCCAUCUUUAAUACUUAAGGUCCACGCUUCUCAUACAGUACUAGCAUUUAAUGGAUCUCGAAGACAAGGAAAAUGAAGUUAAUGCCCUGGAUGGUAAACCCUACUUUCAUUUACAUACUGUGUGGGCAGAUAGCCGGCUAGUACCCCCAGCCUGGGACUUUGUCCCUACUUUAAUAUAGUCCGUCUGUAAAAGUGCCGUGGAUUUCUAAAGACGGAUUUUGGGUCCCAGAUCCUCUACUCUGGAUUUUAAGUUUUAUACAUUUCCUCUGCAAUACUUCAGCUAAGGCAGCAAAAGCGGAGGUCUCCAUACAACGAAAGUUUGUGUAGAGUUUCAGUCUUGUUACUUAGUCACCAGUAUAUUGGGGUUUUCUAAUGAAACUUUUGAAGGGCAAAGUGUUUCCCUGGGCCUGAGAAGUUACCUGCAUUGAAUCAAAUAAACACAUGCCUGGGGCAAUCCUUGGAUCUUUCUUCAUUGUUGACCAAAUGGUUGAAAUACUAUCACACAGUUUAAAAUGCCUGUGGGAGCUUCAGAUACCUUCUCGGCACCUGAAUGGUGGUCACUCUUGUUUAUUCUUUGGAUAUUACCACUUUCUUUGACACUUGUGAUUUAUAUUAAAAAUAGUUCAUUACCUACCUUCCCACAGAGCCCCUCCCUAAGGGGUGAUCCACAUCUAAAAAUAAAAUACUCAUUAUGCAGUGAAUACAGGAUUCCAGCAGUGGUCUUGGGAAAAAUACAGAACAUACAACCAUGAAUUACAGGCUCGAAAACCAUCGAAAAAGGUUUCCACUAAGACCAUAAACCACAAAUGCCGAGGAGUCACCAGAUCCCCCAAAUUCAGCAGCCCCAUCAUUCACAGUGAUUUACAUGAAGUACGAAUCUGGCCAGAUUCAGAUGUUCAAUUUUGUAGCAUAUUCAACGAUUUCAGUAUUUUCUAACCUGCUUUAGACUUACCUAGUUUUCUUCGAAACUAGUGUCCAGUGAAAAGCUGGCCGGGCGCGGUGGCUCACGCCUGUAAACCCAGCACUCUGGGAGGCUGAGGCGGGCGGAUCGCCUGAGGUCAGGAGUUCGAGACCAACCUGACCAACAUGGAGAAACCCCGACUCUACUAAAAAUACAAAAUUAGCCGGGGGUGGUGGUGCAUGCCUGUAAUCCCAGCUACUCGGGAGGCUGAGGCAGGAGAAUCGCUUGAACCCGGGAGGUGGAGGUUGCUGUGAGCCGAGAUCGUGCCAUUGCAUUGCACUGCAGCCUGGGCGACAACAGCGAAACUCCGUCUCAAGGAAAAAAAAAAAAAAAGUAUAUAAAUAUCUGAUGGGAAUAAUAUUCUGAGGAUGCCAAAUAUUUUGUCCUCCUCAAUAUCCUGGUUCCUAGUUGUCCCUCAGUUCCUAGGUUAACAGUCUCACCUGUCUCACCUGCAGGCUUAAUGGGGGUCUUUCGUAAUGUAGAAAGGAUACCCUUUUCUUUGUAAAGGCUGAGCCUGAGGGCUUACAAUUCCCUGGAGAAGGAGAGUAAGACAUACGGGAACUCCCUCUGGGAGAAGAGGGAUAUGCCAGGCCAAGAGAGGGUUGGAAGGAGAAGAGAGAAACUGAGGUCCUGUAGAAGUCUGCCAGGGGCAGGGACCAAUUCCGGCAUGCAGCCUAGGAGCAGGAGGGCAAGCUCUAGCACAUCUGGAAGGAGCAGCUGGAUUGUUGAGCUGAGGCAGUUCUCCUGGGGAAGAAUCCAAAAGUGUCCCAGUAAGGGGCCUGGCUCAGGAGACAAGGCUAUCCUAAGUGGGGAUUUCACAGCCAGUAGCAAAUACCUGGAAUCAAGAACUUCAGUGACAGCCAGAGACCCAAACAGCUGGACAGGACUGGUACCCCCAGUAUGAAGGCCUGUCCCAUGCCCAGCCCC
rnacentral:lncRNA from 10 species